ensembl:lncRNA
GUUUAUUUCCCUUCAAAUUCCAAUCUGCCACCUUGCCAUUUGGUGUAAUACUUAAAGGCCCGUAGAUGUCCUCCUAGGAUCAUAAAUUAAACUGAGGUAAGCUCCAAGUUGCCUCUUUUUCUGGGUGGCAGUGCAGAAGUCGAUGUGGUGAGAGAUUCAUUCAACCAUAGUGUUGUUAAAUAUGAACAUAAACGCCAUAUUGUGCAUUUAAAUGGUUUCAUUGUUUUGUUAAAGGAAAGGAAAAACCUAAAAGAGGAAGUGCCAAACUAAAACCAAACAAACCAUAAAUAUAUAGAGUAGAAAUAAAUUAUGAAUAAAACCAUGUUCUUCUCCAUCCAUUUUCCUGUCUGUUAAAACCCAUUUUCUAAUACAGGCCAUUUGGUGUUAUUGUCUGUAGGUUCUGGAUCCACUCCCGUGCUGCCCACAGGUCCAGAGGCCCACAGGUCCAGCCUAUAUGUGACUGUAACCCUGAUAUGGUUCUGGAUCCACUCCCGUGCUGCCCACAGGUCCAGAGGCCCACAGGUCCAGCCUAUAUGUGACUGUAACCCUGAUAUGGUAAGGUGAGUGAUGGGGUGCUCCUGGAAGUGGGUUAUGAGUAAAUUGUAGG